rnacentral:rRNA from 1 species
UACAGAGGUCCCAAGCGUUGUUCGGAUUCAUUGGCGUAAAGGGUUCGUAGGCGGUGCGGCAAGUCGGGAGUGAAAUCUCUGGGCUUAACCCAGAGGCUGCUUCCGAAACUGCUGUGCUUGAGUGUGGGAGAGGCGCGUGGAAUUGCAGGUGUAGCGGUGAAAUGCGUAGAUAUCGCAGAACACCGUGGCGAAGCGGCGCGCUGGCCGACUGACUCUGAGGACGAAAGCUGGGGAGCAAACAGG